GGUAACGAUGCUUCGUGGGUGACUGUUGUUGAUGUGUGCAGAGGGUCCCUGGUUCGAGCCCAGGUAGGGGCGAGGGAACGGAUGAAAGCAAUAUUGUUACACAUGCGGCGUUUGCAUUAUUACGUACCAUGCCAGUCCAAUCAGCCUCCCUACUUUAGUUUAUGUCUUAAGUAACCAGAUAAUUUUGAACAUAUCAUACGUUUUGGAGGUACCCCCAAAACAGUGUACGAUAGUACUAGUCAAAACGUCCUGGCUGGAUGUAACUAAGCUGCAUGGUUCAGAAUAAAGAUUGUGACUUGAUUAGAGAUUCUUGUAGAGGUGUGUUAGUGCUGGGCUGGAACAAGCUGGGAUGGAGAAUAAUGUAAUGUAGUUCCCACACACUCACUGUCCCAGCUCUCUCUUCAUUUAACCUUCUCUUCACCUCUCUCCCUUGCUCCCAUUCUCUCCUCUCCAGGUGACAGUUCACUAUACCCAGGAGAACAGGGCAGUGAUCCCUCGUAGAGUUCACACUGUGGUCAUCCCAGUGCAGCACGAUGACUACGUGACCCUGGAGGAGUAGAAGGAGAAGGUUAUAAAGGUUGUGGUGCCCUCCAAGUACCUGGACGACAACACUGUCUAUCACCUGCAGCCCAGUGGACGCUUCGUUAUUGGCGGGCCCCAGGGUGAUGCUGGGGUGACCGGUAGGAAGAUCAUUGUGGACACGUAUGGUGGCUGGGGUGCCCACGGAGGCGGGGCCUUCUCUGGUAAGGACUACACCAAGGUGGAUCUGUCCGCCUAUGCGGCACGCUGGGUUGCCAAGUCCUUGGUCAAGUACAAUCUGUGCAAGAGGGUGCUGGUGCAGGUGUCCUAUGCCAUCGGAGUGGCCGCUCCAUUGUCGAUCUCCUUGUUCAUCUAUGGUUCCUCCCAGAAGAGUGAGAAGAAGCUGCUGCAUAUCGUCAACAAGAACUUUGACCUCCGGCCUGGGGUCAAUGUCAGAGACCUGGACUUGAAAAGGCCCAUCUACCAGAAGACAGCCUGCUAUGGCCAUUUUGGCAGGAAGGAGUUUCCCUGGGAGGUGGCCAAGAUCCUCAACUUCUAGUGUGUGGCGCGCCGAGCAUGGGGUAGCAGUGACAUGGGUAGCCGUCUGUCUUACUGUUACCCAGUACGUGACAGCCAAGCCGGCAGCUGUUAGGGGUAUGGGGAGGGUAGGCAAGGGUGGAGUAGGGGGGAGUGUACUCUCUCUUUGGGUGAAACCCCAAACAUCUUGGUCAUAAUUCACAACAUCAAUGCUUUUCAUAUUUAUUCUGUAAGAAACAUUUCAAUUUAAUAUAAGCCAAUUCACAAGUGUUAAGGGUUAACAACCUCAGCAGAACUCUUGCUUAGUAUUGUAGGGAGUCCAUCGUCAUGUCAAUCGCAUGCUGUAGCGACGGUUACCCUACUAGCCAUCAGCCAAACACAUUGUUAAUGCGCACAGACCAAUUGUUUUGUCUCGAAGAACAGAAAGUACAGCACAGUCUUUCAAAACAUGUUUCAAGAACUUCAAACCCACAAAGGAAGUAAAGAUGGUCUUCACGUACCAUCAAAAUGUAGAUAUUAUUUGAACCAUUAGAGUGGGAAUAGAAAACACCAUGUAGUGUGUCUAUGCUUUCCACUGACUAAUGGUCCAUCAUUCACAUCUGACAACUCGUCAUAAAAUAGGUUUAAUCUAUUCACUCUCACUAUAAGCAUACAUUCAACACAGUAUAACUGCCCACUACGGGGGCUAUAAUGCAAUAGAGGUCAGUUGACCAUCGGUCAGAACAUUCUCGUUUGUAUGACCUCAUGUUAUAACUCGCCAGCACAGUCAAUGACUUGAUAAAGACUUUGAUUUGGUUGGUCAGUUUUUUUUAUAAUCCAUAUCUCACAUUUUAUAUUGUUUUGCAUUUAAAAAAAGACACUAGAUUGUUUGAAAACUAAAACAAUGUUUUGGCAUUGACCAGGACCAUCAACACUGAAUUGUGGGAAAUAAGUAAUUACAUUAGGGACAACUAUCUAUACUAUUAACCCAGAAUUUUUUCAAAUAUCUUAGAACACUGGAGUAAGAGCAAGAUAAAAGGCCAAUAUUUUCAUACUUUGGAUAGAUGGUUCCGAUGUUAUUUGAGAAAAGAUUGUAAGCUUUACAUUAGAGGGUUCUGAGACACCUGGGUGCAGAGUGAUGUGUUCAGAGAGGAUUGUGGCACUGAGAGAAUAGAAGGGAAGAGACAUAGUCAGGGAGAAAGAGAGACCUGAGAAACAUGGCCUCCGAUUCAGAGGGAGAGAGAGGACUGUCAGAGGAAGUGAAGAGAUAAAUAUUUAGAGGAGAUAGAGAAGACUGAUUGAGAAAGAGAGAAGAACCACCUUGAGAUAUGGCUGUCAUUUGGUAGUCCAUAGUAUGACCCCCCUGUGUGUAAAGUGCAUGUCCUGGAGGAAGUCAAUUCUGUCUCGUCUUUUUUAACACUUCUGGUGUGGGUCUCAGCUCUGGGCUGUGUGGGUCUCUGAGACAUGGGGGGUUAUGGAAGUUCAAUAGUCCUCCACCCAACCGUUCUCCUGGAUAAAGGCGUCGAUGACCUCCUUCAUGAGGACUCCAGGUGACUGGGUCAAAAUGGCCCACACUCUACAGAGGAUGGAGGAAAACUUUUAUGAUUGUUUGAGAUAUUGGUGUUUCUGUGAGAUGGUAUCUUUCAUUAUGAUUUUAAUCAUGAUUUACAUUGGACAGUAUUACCUCUGUUGAUGAGUGGUUGAUAGUCUAGCAACUGCAGGUGUAUUUAUAGAAAUAUGAAUGGAUGGUAAUUCAGCAGUAAUUGAUUGGUAGUGUGGAUGAAUAGAACAUAGACAAACUGUUCUACCCUCUCACCUAUGAACGAGUGACAGUUUACCUAUACUCCUGUUGAGUAGAGGUCUAUGUGUAUGACUAUGAAAGGAUGGUAUACUGUACCUGUAGGUGCUCCUCAAUGUCGUAGGUGAUCCCACUGGGGAUGAUGCAGGGCUCCCUCAUCAACUCAAAGCUUAUCUUUCCACACAGGUAGUCAGGGAUCUCCCGCUUCUGUGGGGUUCAGAUAAACGUAUGUAAAUCUAAAUACUUCCCCCUAGACACCAUCUCAGAUCUGGGUCAUAUUCUUUAUGGUACCAAACGGAAGAAAACUGACUGAAACGGGAAUGGACUACCUGAACUUGUCCAAUAAGAAACUUGUGAUGGGGGCGGGGGGGAAAUCGAUAGUUCGAUAUAGCAAUAUUAUUUUGGACUAUAUUAAAAAUGUAAAAUAUAUUUUUAUUUUGCUAUAGGUAGCGCUAGUCGUCUGUACCUGCGCCAAAACUCUUGUUAUUUUUCCUCCUAUAGCCUGUUCUCCAGCUUCUUUUUAAAUAAUGAGCCAACAUGUUUUCAGCACUUAUUUCCACAACUGAUCAAAACUAAAUUUCUUAUGCUCUCAUCUCUCUGCAGCAGACAUAUAGUGAGCAAUAUGUUUGGAACAUCAAAUCGCAAUAUCGAAUCAUAAUAGGUUAAACACAUUUGAAUUCAAUCACUUUGACAGCAUCCCUUUUCAUAGGUUUGUCCAUGGAAUAAGUGUUCAGAAAGUGACUUUUUGGACAUAAAUGCCAAAAUAUGCAGAAAAUAGGGAGGUGCUCAAAAUUGUUGCACUCAUUUUGCAUACUCCACCAUACCAUGAAACAUCAUGUAUUUAACACUGGAAAAUAUAUACAUUUGAUAUCAUGUAAAAGCUUACAAACAUGGUUGUCAAACUAAUUUAUAAAUGUAUUGAAAACAAUUAUAGUGUUUGUCUUUCCACACAGGUAGUCAGGGAUCUCCCGCUUCUGUGGGGUUCAGAUAAACGUAUGUAAAUCUAAAUACUUCCCCCUAGACACCAUCUCAGAUCUGGGUCAUAUUCUUUAUGGUACCAAACGGAAGAAAACUGACUUCCUCAUCUAUUCUAUUCUAAAAAUGUGAAAAUUCCAAAUACAGAUUUUUUCUAUAUUUGCAUAGUUUAAACUAGAGGUCGACCGAUUAAUCGGAAUGGCUGAUUAAUUAGGGCCGAUUUCAAGUUUUCAUAAUCGGAAAACGAUUUGGCCCAUUUUAU